UCCGGUUUGUCACCGGCAGUCUCCUUUAAGUUCCCACCAUGACGUGCUGGCAACAAAGGAUAAGGGUUGCGCUCGUUGCGGGACUUAACCCAACAUUUCACAACACGAGCUGACGACAGCCAUGCAGCACCUGUCUCACAGUUCCUUUCGGCACAACUAUAUCUCUACAGCCUUCUGUGGAUGUCAAGAGUAGGUAAGGUUCUUCGCGUUGCAUCGAAUUAAACCACAUGCUCCACCGCUUGUGCGGGCCCCCGUCAAUUCAUUUGAGUUUUAACCUUGCGGCCGUACUCCCCAGGCGGUCGACUUAACGCGUUUGCUUCAAAAGCCACACCCUAAAGGCACAACCUCCAAGUCGACAUCGUUUACAGCGUGGACUAC
rnacentral:misc_RNA from 1 species